GAACGCCGUGUGAGGUGAAAGUCUCACGCACGGUGUGAAGUGGGGGAAAAGCCGGAGAUAACUUUCAAAGGUUUACCUAUCACUAU
rnacentral:ncRNA from 1 species